AGAGUUUGAUCAUGGCUCAGGACGAACGCUGGCGGCGUGCCUAAUACAUGCAAGUCGAGCGAGCUUGCCUAGAUGAUUUUAGUGCUUGCACUAAAUGAAACUAGAUACAAGCGAGCGGCGGACGGGUGAGUAACACGUGGGUAACCUGCCCAAGAGACUGGGAUAACACCUGGAAACAGAUGCUAAUACCGGAUAACAACACUAGACGCAUGUCUAGAGUUUGAAAGAUGGUUCUGCUAUCACUCUUGGAUGGACCUGCGGUGCAUUAGCUAGUUGGUAAGGUAACGGCUUACCAAGGCAAUGAUGCAUAGCCGAGUUGAGAGACUGAUCGGCCACAUUGGGACUGAGACACGGCCCAAACUCCUACGGGAGGCAGCAGUAGGGAAUCUUCCACAAUGGACGAAAGUCUGAUGGAGCAACGCCGCGUGAGUGAAGAAGGGUUUCGGCUCGUAAAGCUCUGUUGGUAGUGAAGAAAGAUAGAGGUAGUAACUGGCCUUUAUUUGACGGUAAUUACUUAGAAAGUCACGGCUAACUACGUGCCAGCAGCCGCGGUAAUACGUAGGUGGCAAGCGUUGUCCGGAUUUAUUGGGCGUAAAGCGAGUGCAGGCGGUUCAAUAAGUCUGAUGUGAAAGCCUUCGGCUCAACCGGAGAAUUGCAUCAGAAACUGUUGAACUUGAGUGCAGAAGAGGAGAGUGGAACUCCAUGUGUAGCGGUGGAAUGCGUAGAUAUAUGGAAGAACACCAGUGGCGAAGGCGGCUCUCUGGUCUGCAACUGACGCUGAGGCUCGAAAGCAUGGGUAGCGAACAGGAUUAGAUACCCUGGUAGUCCAUGCCGUAAACGAUGAGUGCUAAGUGUUGGGAGGUUUCCGCCUCUCAGUGCUGCAGCUCACGCAUUAAGCACUCCGCCUGGGGAGUA
rnacentral:rRNA from 1 species